UAGAGGAUAAGGGACAGGGACAGGGGACAGGGGCCGUACAUGAUAGAGACCAGGACGGGGAGAUAGGGGACAGGCAUGGGGACAGAGGAUCAAGAACAGGGGACGGAGGAGAGAAUCCCGAGACAGGGGACAGGGCCUAGGAGAUAGGGGGCAGGGGUCGGGAAAAGGGUCCGGGGAUGGGGGAUAAGGCACGGGGACGGGGAACGGGGCAUGGGGGUGGCCGGUAGGGCCCAGGGCUGUGGGGUACAGCACCUGUAGGGUGGGGAACCCGGGGAAACGCGCAGUUCCUAUUCUAAACGCGUUUGCUCGCGGUUGUUUUGUCGGAUAAAGCAGACGGCUCCGUGCUCGCCGUACCCAGCCCCUGCGGGGGAUCCGGCCCCAGUUUGCUCCCCCGGCCCUGCUGGGAGCGCUGGUGACAAACCGGGAUGCCGGGGCGGCACCGCGAGGCGUGGAAAAUGAACGCGGGCCCUGCCGGAGCGCCCCCGCGCCGACCGCUCCCACCGAGCAACCCUGCCGCCGGCGAGAUCAAGCAUGCGAAAGUCUCGAUGCGCGAUGCUGUGACGUGCCAUAAAACAUGCGAGUGGGCCGGGAACCAGCUCCAGAUGAAGACGCCUAAAUGUGAUGAUGCUAGCGCUGAAAACUGGGGGUUUUGUGUACUACCAAGAUUAUGGCUGCACACUCAGGAGAAUUUGCUGGGACCCAAGGAGCGCGGUGCAAGGUUUGCUACUGACCUGAUGUGCAUCCCCAGGGAAAUCUCAUUGCUUACUCCAAGUCUCCUUGC
rnacentral:lncRNA from 1 species